rnacentral:rRNA from 1 species
AGAGUUUGAUCAUGGCUCAGGAUGAACGCUGGCGGCGCGCCUAACACAUGCAAGUCGAACGGUGAUACUUUCUUCGGAAAGAGGAUCAGUGGCGAACGGGUGAGUAACGCGUGGGUAACCUGCCCUUGACACAGGGAUAGCAAAGGGAAACUUUUGGUAAUACCUGAUGACCUCAAAAAGUGACAUCUCUUUUUGAGCAAAGAAUUUCGGUCGAGGAUGGACCCGCGUCCCAUCAGCUAGAUGGCGGGGUAACGGCCCACCAUGGCAAUUACGGGUAGCCGGACUGAGAGGUCGAUCGGCCACAUUGGGACUGAGACACGGCCCAGACUCCUACGGGAGGCAGCAGUGGGGAAUAUUGCGCAAUGGGGGAAACCCUGACGCAGCGACGCCGCGUGCGGGAUGGAGGCCUUCGGGCUGUGAACCGCUUUCGGUGGGGAGGAAAUUGACCGUACCCACAUAAGAAGCCCCGGCUAACUACGUGCCAGCAGCCGCGGUAAUACGUAGGGGGCGAGCGUUAUCCGGAUUCAUUGGGCGUAAAGCGCGCGUAGGCGGAUUUCAUAAGUCAGGGGUAUAAGGAUAGGGCUCAACCCCAUCAUGCCCCUGAUACUAUAAGUCUUGGGUUCCGCAGGGGAUGGCGGAACUCCCGGUGUAGCGGGUGGAAUGCGCAGAUAUCGGGAGGAACACCGGUGGCGAAGGCGGCCAUCUGGGCGGUAACCGACGCUGAGGCGCGAGAGCUAGGGGAGCGAACAGGAUUAGAUACCCUGGUAGUCCUAGCCGUAAACGAUGGGCGCUAGGUGUGGGGGAUAUUUUCCUCCGUGCCGAAGCUAACGCAUUAAGCGCCCCGCCUGGGGAGUACGGUCGCAAGACUAAAACUCAAAGGAAUUGACGGGGGCCCGCACAAGCAGCGGAGCAUGUGGCUUAAUUCGAAGCAACGCGAAGAACCUUACCUGGGCUUGACUUGGAAGUGAAGCUUGGGAAACCAAGUGGCCGAAAGGAGCUUCCACAGGUGGUGCAUGGCUGUCGUCAGCUCGUGCCGUGAGGUGUCAGGUUAAGUCCUGCAACGAGCACAACCCCCACUGUGUGUUGCCAUCAUUAAGUUGGGCACCCACACAGGACCGCCGGCGCCAAGCCGGAGGAAGGCGGGGAUGACGUCAAGUCAUCAUGCCCCUUACGCUCAGGGCUGCACACGUGCUACAAUGGCCGGAACAAAGGGUUGCCACCCCGUGAGGGGGAGCGGAUCCCUAAAGCCGGCCCCAGUUCGGACUGUAGGCUGCAACCCGCCUACACGAAGUCGGAGUUGCUAGUAAUCGCGGAUCAGCACGCCGCGGUGAAUGCGUUCCCGGGCCUUGUACACACCGCCCGUCACACCACCCGAGUCGUCUGCACCCGAAGUCGCUGGCUGAACCAUUUGGACAGAGGCGCCGAAGGUGUGGGGGGCGAGGGGGGUGAAGUCGUAACAAGGUAACCGUA